rnacentral:rRNA from 1 species
CUUGGUGGUUCUUGCGAAAGGGUCACACCUGUUCUCAUCCCGAACACAGAAGUUAAGCCUUUCAGCGCCGAUGAUACUUGGGCCGCCCAAGCCCUGGGAAAGUAGGUCGCCGCCAGGA